UCUACUCCUGUGUCUGGAAAAGCCUGUACCUUCCGUGAACCACCCAUUCAGCAGUUCCACCCAGGCACUGGAUGGAUGAGCCCUGGCACAGGGAGUAUUGGAUGGCAUCAGGCAGCCAGGGAGGCUCUGGCAGUGCAAUUCUUGCACAAAGGUCAAGAUGCCAUUAACCAAAGAAAACCCUGCUGCUGAACUGCCUCACACCACAUGGUCUCCUAAGAGAAAGUCAGCUUGCUCAUCUUUCCCUUGAGUAAAUGAAGUUAAGAACUUAUACAAAGCCCUCUCAUGGGAGGAACUCAGCAGAGCUGGUGAGCACGGAGGGAUGGGAGGACCUGGCUGAAAUCUGGGUUUCAGAGUCAUGACAAUGCUGAGCAGCUGUGUGUGUAACAGUUGCAGAUCAAAAGUACAAUUAGGCUAAUGUGGGCACCAAAACAGAGAAAAGGAUGAUCAGGAAAAUGAAAGAGGAGAAUGCAAGCAAGCAUUCAGUGACAGAAGACAAUCAUUAGCAUUGGCCAAUACCACAGGCAAAAAGAGGCCAGUGCCAUUUGGAAAGUAAUGACAUGGCCUCAGGAGAGGUCCAGCCUGGAGGAAAGCUCCUUCUCCUGCAUCCCCAAGUGUCUUCUCCUAGGGGUAGCAUUCCCAAUGGGCCUCCUUCCCAACAUGAAGUGCCUGGAGCUCCCCGAGCAGGAACACGUGUGGACAUUCUGCAUGGGGCAUUGGGAGCACCAUGAGGGAGCAGCCUGCAGCAAACCCUGACCACACCAGGCUUGGUGCACAUGCAGAUCACCUGGGCAGCCUUCCAAGAGCUUGUAUUUGCUGUGCACACACUGUGGAGCUGGUACAUAUAUCCAGAGUUGGAGUGUACAGGAGCACUGGCAAUUCUCAUCAUAGAAAAUAUGUGAACUCUGCCUGGUUAAGAUUAUUUUUCCCACACAAAGUAACAGAAGGUAACCCUAGUGGAGAAGAUGCCUUGUAUUGGAAGAUCAGAGCAUAUCACUCACCUGGGUUAAUGGUGAUGAAUUUGUUAUCUGAGGGAUACUCCUCUGGAAACCUGUCCAUCUUGGGAGGAGGUUUUCUUGUUGUCUCUGGUCUCCUUGGGACGUUGCCCAGACACUCAACACCAGCUGGAUGAAAAGCUGAGCCAGGACAGAACAUGCCACAGAGCCACCAGCAAACCAAGAAACCUCCCUGCCUUCACCACAUCAUCAUUAAAACCCUCUUUAUCCUUAUCUUCAUUUUACAUCCACCCACAUCACUACUGACUUGUGAGUAACAUUUCCUCUUGGGGUGAGAAGAAUGUAAAGGAGUUUAAUGAGUUCAGCUGCAUUACUCACAGUGCUUUAAUCCUCAGAAGACAGGAGUUUAAAAAUACAAUGUUACAUAAGGGCUGUCCCAAAAUAAUGGCUGCCAACGUGAGCAUCCAUGGCUGGUGGGUCUGCUCCGACAAGGAACUCUGGCUCUUCCCACGCACAUUGUGAGGGCCUCAAAGGACACUAUUUUUAUUUCCUUAAUUUACCCAUCAGGAUUACUAUCCUAAGGACUGGUGUUGCUGUGAGGCAUUGUACUUGUUACAAAACAGCUGCAGCAUAGCCAGCUGGGCACUCCUGAAGGAUUUGGAGAGCAUCAGGAGCCCUUCAGCAAGCCACCACCACGUCUGCCAGGACCUGCGGGCUGUGACACCCAUGUACAGACUCAGUUUUCCAUAUCCAUGGGACUCUUCCUGGCCACCACCAGAGAAGAAAGGCAGGACUGGCACUGCCUGCUCCACUGAGAGAAAUCAGGUAAUGAACUAUGGACUUUGCAUCCUCUGCACCCUGCCAAUAUUAUUCUAAUGCCAAUCCACUGCACCCAUGCAGGUCUCUGGGCACGUGUGUGCUCUGCUGUAAAUAAAACCCCUUAGUACACACAAAAAUAACCAAACCUCAGUCUAUUACAAAGAACUAGUCCUGAAUUACAUGUGGAAAAAGAGACUGAAGUGAAUUGUCUAAAGACAAGGAAUAAUUCUGUGGAAGAGCUGAGUCAGCAGUUCCUCUGGACAACCUGACCAUUCUCCUCUGAAUUACUGAAAAAUGUCUCACAUUACUGAAUUCAUCAGCAGGACCAUUAGCUGGAAAGAGCUGAAGGGAUCAAAACAGCAUUCUGCUAUCAGUGCCACAAAGUCAGAAGCCACACCACAGCUUCCCUCUGGCUCCUCCUGGUCCCCCAAAGCACAGCAUGAAGGUGGCCAGGACCUGGAUGAGAUGGGAGAGCUGAAAGCCAUCUCUGUUAUCACUAUUUACAGAGCUUCCUGAUCCUUGGUAUGCCUCUCCAUGCUCACCUCUUUCCGCUGAGAUGGUCAGAUCAAUUCUCCCUGACAUCACUGUUUAUUGAUAACUGUGCCAAUAAAUCAUAACUGCCCUCUUUGA